GGGUCAACUCUCGAACAAAGUUUGGUUAUACCUACGGGGGCUAGACCUGUGGUGUCAUCAUCCAUACGGUUCUACCGUCUGGUAGUUGUAGCAAUAUUAUUAUCAUUAGUAGCUCACGCCUGACAUAAUAUUUUGAUAAAUCUAAUACAUUUUUAGAUUUAAAUAUGACUUUAAUAACUGAAUAAAUACUUUUCUUCUAUAAAAAUAUAGAGAGACACUCUCGUUGAAUAUUGUUUUAGUAACGCAUGGGUAAGAUUUUCUAAACGAAGUGUGGCAACCCCAAUUACUUAAUAAAAAAUAAAAAUGUUAUAAAAUGAAAAUGGCGUCAUUUCACCAAAUAUCUUAAAACACAAAUUCACGAAUAAUAAAAUAAAUGUUUGCCACGGCCUGUUAAUAUUUAUGAAGACCUCUUCAUGGAUUGGAUUUAAGCAACCUGCUGUGUAAUAUCCUCGCCAUUCUUGAUGUUGAGAAGAUCUAUAAGUCUUUUACGUUUCAUCUGAGUGUUGUGGUUUUUCAUGUUAAAAAUAAGACUUUGUUAUUUCAAGUGUCUCUAUAAGUAUGAAGAAGAACAAAAGAAAAUGCUUUGAGUGUGGUUCUUCGCCUGCCGAUGAUCCAGAGAAGACCCUACAGAGAUUACCGAAACUUGAUUCUACAAAUUUAGUCUCCGGUAGCUUAAUCUGGAGCAACAUAAGGUUAAUUAUGAAAUGGUAAUGAAAAUAAACAUCUGAGAAAAGCAAAUUCCAUGAACUAAUUUGAAAGUAUCUGUUACCAGAAGUAAAUUUUUUACUAUACCACUGUUCAAUAUUAAACCACAGGUAUAUGUACUAAAGGCAGUAAUGUCCAGAUAAUCAAUGAUUAGACUAUUGGACUUUUAGAAUAAAUUUUACAUUGAACUAUGAAUGGUUUGUCAUCCACAUUUUUAAAAAAAAUUUUAAUAAAAAAAAUUCAACCGACUUCCAAUUCAAAAAUUAACCUAAACUAAAAAGCAAAAAAUAACAUCUUACCUAUGUGCUACCUUCUGAUCAGUUUGAAGGCGGUGCCAAGCCAGUGAUGUUUUAAUUAGAGCCGUUUAAAUUACAAAAUUUCUGUGGUUCUUUCAGAAACGGCUUUAAUUAAAACAUGACACUAGAUUGGCACCGCCUUCAAACUGAUCAGAAGGUAGCACAUAGGUAAGAUGUUAUUUUUUGCUUUUUAGUUUAGGUUAAUUUUUGAAUUGGAAGUCGGUUGAAUUUUUUUUAUUAAAAUUUUUAUUUUUUAAUUUUUAGUGUUAGCACACCUACAGAGUGUGAACACAAAUUAAUAAGCAAUUAGUUGAAACGUUAUUUUUUUAUAAUAAGUAUCUAAGUCCUACAAUCCCAAUUUUAAAAAUACUACCUUAACUCAUAUACAAAAUUUUACUCCCCCUUUAUCCACACGUAAUAUGAAUAUUCAGAAAAUCGUGAAAGGUGACUGUCCUGCGUCAUCAUCACCAGACCCCCUAUGCAGUCACAUUCUCAUCAAUAUAAAAUUUAUCAAGUCCAAACACAAGGUAGCUACUGUGAACCGUCGAGGAGUUCCCUUAACUCUCCUUCAUCUUCGUCACCAAACCCCUAAUACAGUCACAACCCAUCUAGGUGGAAAGUUCUCAUCAAUACAAAAUUAUCAAGUCAAAACACAAUGUAGCUACUGUGAACCGUUGAGGAGUUCCCUUAACUAUCCUUCGUCUUCAUCACCAGACCCCUAAUACAGUCACAACCCAUCUAGGUGGAAAGUUCUCAUCAAUACAAAUUUAUCAAGUCCAAACACAAGGUAGCUACUGUGAACCGUUGAGGAGUUCUCUUAACUGUCAUUCGUCUUCAUCAUCAGACCCUUAAUACAGUCACAACCGAUCUAGGUGGAAAGUUCUCAUCAAUACAAAUAAAUCAAGCCCAAACAAAAGGUACCUGCUGUAAAUCGUUGACGAGUUCCAUCGUCUGUGUUUUGGCUCCAUCAUCAGACCAACUCCAGACCUUCAUAAAAUUGUAGUGGUUUAAAAUACCUUAUGGAAACACUAACAAACGCACUAGCCGUCCCUACAAUUUUCAAAAGAUCCCCUCGAUUUCUCCAAGAUGCCAUCAUCAGAUCCUGACAUGAAAAAAAUGGGACCACCCUGGAAUCAAACCCUUCAAAACAAAAAAAGAAUUUUCAAAAUCGGUCCACAAAUGACGGAAUUAUCGCUGGACAUACAUAAAAAAAAAAAAAAAAAAAAAAAAAAAAAAAAACAUACAUACAGUCGAACGUAGAACCUCCUCCUUUUUGGAAGUCGGUUAAAAAGACGAGAUGUUUUGCCUGUAAGAAGAAGAGAGAGAGAGAAUAAGAAGUUAAGUUAAACACCUACUGUAAAAUGCACACUGCUCCAAUGUGGGUUGAUAGGCUUGGGGUAAUAAAGUUAAAUUAUAAAAGGAUCACUAUCAGGUGUUAAUGUUAAUGACUGGGAUAUAUAGCAUAUCAUACUCUCUGAGAUAUAGGGAUAUAACACCAGCAACAGCUCUCCAGUGAUAGCAUCAUUGCUCUUUGCAUCUACAUGCCAUUGCCAGUUGUGGCAAUCGAACUCAUCAUAUUAGUGUGAUGAGCAUGGAUGUAUUUCAGUGUCUAUGUGGUUGUGAGUGUUAAAUAACAAGUAAUGGCCCAAAUAAUAAGUAGCCUAUAUGUUGCUCAAUAAUCUUCUCUAUCUUCCAGUAAAAGUCCCAUUAAAAUGACCCUGCUGUUCCAGAGAUUAGCUCAAACAAACAGACAGAUGAACAUUUUAAAGAAGUAUGGCUGUAUGUCAGUAUUGUAUAUAGGCACUUGAGAAAACACAGUUAUUUUGAAAUCACAGACAUACACUUAAAUUUUAUUUAUAUGUAUUGGUGCUGUUCAUAAAUAUAGCAUCAGCUGAAACAAACUAGGCAUAGUUAAGUUACAUUUUAUACAGGGUACUCGGGCCUAUUUCUCAUAAAUUCAAGGUGUUGACAAGUCCACUUAUAGCUACCUUAGCUACUAGUUUAUAUUGAGGAGAACUUUCCACCUAGAUGGGUUGUGACUGUAUUAGGGGUCUGGUGAAGAAGACGAAGGACAGUUAAGAGAACUCCUCAACGGUUCACAGUAGCUACCAUGUGUUGAUAAAUUUGUAUUGAUGAGAACUUUCCACCUAGAUGGGUUGUGACUGUAUGAGGGAUCUGGUAAUGAAGACAGUUAAGGGAACUCCUCGAUGGUUCACAGUAGUAAUUAGUUUGAUUCUAAGUCAGACACAAUCAAAUACAAUGUUUUAUCACGACUCAUAGCAACAUACCUUUGGCGCUAGAUCAAUAUCUAGGAUGAUUUCACUAAAAUUGAAUUUCUUUUAUUAAAAAUAAAAAAUUUUAAUAAAAGAAAUUCAACCAACUUCAAAAACAUAAAACAUACUGGCUAAACUAAAAAGCGAAAAAUAAUAUUAUACUAAGUUCAUAUCAUAUUAUGUUCUAACUGAUGAUCAGUUUGAAGGCUGUGCUACACCGGUGUUGUUUUAAUUUAAGCUGUUACUGAAAGAACUACAUGAAAGAACACUGUCUUAAAAACCUAAAUAUUUAUGAUAUUCUUACAUGGCUUGAAUUAAUACAUCAUUGGGCUAGCACCACCUUCAAACUGAUCAUCAGUUAGAACAUAAUAUGAUAUAUAGAACUUAGUAUAAUGUUAUUUUUUGUUUUUUAGUUUAGUAAGUAUGUUUUUGAAGUCGGUUGACUUGUUUUUAUUAAAGUUUUUUAAUACACAUGUUCCUUAGACAUUUUAAAUUAAUUUUCCUUAUAGAACUUGGAGCUACCCUAGAGUUAUGGGAAAUACUCCCGAGCACCCUGUAGAUGCUACUUAAUCCUACUAAUCCUUCAUUCAUCAGUAUCGGUUGGUGGGCUUGGAGUUUAUAAACAAUCCUGCUUCUUCACAUGAAUUUUACCCGCAUGACGACGGUUUUUAAUAUAAAAAAUAUUUACACAAUGUCUCAAAAAGCAAUCAAAGCUUUGAAAAAUAAACAAUGUUCGCAGAAGUUCAGUACCAACAAACUCACAAAAAAUGAGCCCAAAUUUAGCAUUACUUGCAAGCCAGACUAAGAAAUUUCAAGAAGAUAAUUUAAAAGAAGACAAUAGAAUAAACAGAUAAACAGAUGGAAACCAGGCAAUAGGUGUAGCAAAAUAGAAGAUGAAGGUCUAGCUGUGCCAGUGCUGAGCCACACAGUUGCUACUGGCAUGUUUGCAAAAUAGCACAAGGUGUAGCAAAAUAGAAGAUGAAGGUCUAGCUGUGCCAGUGCUGAGCCACACAGUUGCUACUGGCAUGUUUGCAAAAUAGCACAAGGUGUAGCAAAAUAGAAGAUGAAGGUCUAGCUGUGCCAGUCAGUGCUGAGCCACACAGUUUUUGCUGGCAUGUUUGCAAAAUAGCACAAGGUGUAGCAAAAUAGAAGAUGAAGGUCUAGCUGUGCCAGUGCUGAGCCACACAGUUGCUACUGGCAUGUUUGCAAAAUAGCACAAGGUGUAGCAAAAUAGAAGAUGAAGGUCUAGCUGUGCCAGUCAGUGCUGAGCCACACAGUUGCUGCCGGCAUGCUUGCAAAAUAGCACAAGCUGUAGCAAAAUAGAAGAUGAAGGUCUAGCUGUGCCAGUGCUGAGCCACACAGUUGCUGCUGGCAUGUUUGCAAUAUAGCACAAGGUGCUGUAAAAUGAAGAUAUAUUGUUAAAUAUCAUGAGACAGAAAUAAAAGAUGAAGAUCUAGCUGUACCCGUCCCGAGCCACACUACUGCAGCCACGUUGCUGCUGGCAUUUUUGCAAAAUAGCACAAGGUCACAACAAUUGAUGUAACAAAUAUAAUCAAUGGACCAGGCACCUGCACCAUGAUUCUUUGGAAUACUAAAAUUCGUCUCUUUAUGUCUGUACUUCUCAUAACGAAAAAUGUCACGUUUUUAUGAAAGAAAUAAUGGAAUCAAAUAAUAAAUAAAACAAGCAUAUGCUGGAAGUCCUCAGAAACAGCUCCGACUUUGAUGAUUUUUUUUUUAAAGUCAUGUUUUUUAUGUUAUUUAAAAUCAGAAAUGUUUUGAUGGACGAAAUUAUUUAAAUUGUUAAAAAAUAUCUAUGCUAUUUAUACAUAUUUUUUUUUAAAUACAACCGACUUCAAAAAUACAAACUUAUGCAGAAAACUAACAAACGAAAGAAAAUAUUAUAAUAUUUUCUAUCUAUUGAUCACUUUGAAGCCAAUGGUCCAAUUAAUGGGCCUACAAUUAGUUAUCUAUUGUUUUCCUAGCUAUAGGGUUCGAAUUGCUUUUUCAUAUCUUUAAAAGACUAUCUUCGGAAUGAACCCUUUAUAAUAAAAAAGUAUUAUCAAAAUCGGACCACUCAAUAAAAAGUUAUACUUGGUUGUAUACUAAAAUUAAUGGUUAAACAAUCAAUCAUCCCCUGUUUUUGUAAUGUAAAACCAAGCAUAACUGUUAACAUGAGUAGUCCGAUUUUGAUAAUUCUUUUGAUUGAUCAUUCUUGAUUGUUUUAGUUUAAAACCAAGCAUGUCUUCAAAUUCCGAUUUGAAUAACUUUGUUUUAAAUAGAAAGGGUAUAUUCCGACAAUGGUCCCAAAUCAUUAUAAAUUUAAAAAAAACAAGAGAUGACUGGUUAUUUUCCCAUUAAUGUAUUGUAAAAAUAUGCGUAACUUAUUACGAAGUGGUCCGAUUUCGUAAAUUCUUUAUAGAUUGUAAAGGUAUUUUGAUUGUAAAGCUCCCAUAUAAAUUUUAAAAAACAAUUCCAAUCCUAAAUGUGCGAUUGAUUGUUUUCUCAUUCAUUUUAAUGUAAAACCAAGCCUAACUUUUUAUUGGGUGGUUCGAUUUUGAUUAUUCUUUAUUUUAAUAGAACGGGUAUAUUCCUAAGUCUCAAACCUAAUAGUAGGAAAAUAGAAGAUGAUUAAUUGUUUUCCCAUUUAUUGUAAUGUUAAACUAUGCGUAACUUUUUACUGAGUGGACCGAUUUUGAAAAUUCUUUACUUUUUGUAAAGGGUUUAUUUCGAAGUAGGUCCCAUAUAAAUUUCGGAAAACAAUUCGAAUCCUUAAGGUGGAAAAAAACGGUACGAUUGAUUGCCUACCCAUUAAUUGUACAAUUGGCACCGGCUUCAGUAAUCAGUAGAUAGAAAAUAUUAUAAUGUUUUCUUCAGCUUAUUAGUUUACUGCAUAACUUUGUGUUUUUGGUAGUGAUUGUUUUUUAAUUAUUUAUUAUAUAAAUAGCAUAACUAUUGUUAAAUAGUAUAAAUCGUUCCAUCCUCACUCCAAAAGGUUUCUGAUUUCAAAUGAUAUGAAGAAACAAACUGAACAAAAAUAAUCAUCAAAAUCAGAGCUGUUUCUGAGGAGGUAGAGGGUAAAUGCUCUAUUGAUUCGCCUAAAAGUAAUAUUAUGUUAUCGCAUUCGGUUGUAAAUUUUGGCUAGUGAAAGUAGAGACUGAAAUUGCCCGCCAAAUUUAAAAAUCAUAUAAACAAAUUAAAAAAACAUGUGUUUUCAUAAUUUAUUUAGAUUAGUUUUUCUUUGUGAAUACAUUAUUACCUAUACUAUAAGUGUUAAACUCAGUUAUUCCAAUAUUUGCACUAUAAUUUUGAGAAUUUACUCCGAUUUUUUAAAAUUUGGCGGGUGGUUUCAGUUUCUACUUUCAUUAGCCAAAUUCUAAUAAUUUUAUUGUUUAUGAAAUUUAUACUAAUUAGAAAGAGGAAGAAUUUGAUUAUUUGUUUGUUUGCAUUGAAUAGGCUGUGAAACUACUUUGCUGAUUUAAAAAUUUCUUACAGCAUUAUAAUCAUGGAUUAGGCCAUAAUUGUUAUCUCUGUAUUCCCACGGGAACGAGAACUACGCUGGUGAAACUGCGUGACGUUUGCAUAGUUUAUCAUAUGUACAAAUAUCCCGACAAUCUAUAUUUUUAUGUAUGAAUUAGUUACGUUAUAAUUGACUUGAUUUUCCAAAAUAUCUCAGUGAAGUCACCCAAUUGUGUAAUUGUGUAAGUGCAUAAGAUUUUUUAUUUGAUAAUAAAGACAUUUCAACUUGAAACUGUUA